UAACAUAUGGAAGCCGAUUCAUUCAACAAAAACUUCAGACUGCAACAACAGAAGAGAACAUGGUUUUUCAGGAAAUUUUCCCUCAGGUUCUUACUUUGAUGACGGAUGUGGUCGGAAAUUAUGUAAAUCAGAAGGUAUCCAAGAUCUCUGGUCCUUUCUUCAGUCACUGAUAUUAUUAGUCCCAAGCUUUAAGAGUUUAUUGGUUCAUAAACUAGUUUCAGUUUUUUGAACAUGGAAUGGCAUCUCAGAGAAGAGAGUUGGCUAGCGAACUUUUUGGACAUGUACUUACACUAAGCCUUCAAAAGGUAACAACUAUGCAAAAAAUG
rnacentral:lncRNA from 1 species